AAGAGAAGAGAAAGAAAAGAAAACAGAAAAAAGGCAAUGAGAAAAGUAACAGAGACAACACUAACGUGAGCCUCUAGACCAGCUGUUCUCAACCUGUGGGUCACGACCCCUCUGGGGUCAAAUGACCAUUUCACAGAGGCCACCCAAGGCCAUUGGAAAACACGGACGUUUACAUUAUGAUUCAAUGUAACGGUAAAAAAAAAAAUUACAGUUACAAAGUAGCAAUGAAAUAAUGUUAUGGUUAAAGUCACCACAACAUGACUAACUGUAUUAAAGGGUUGAAGCCUUAGGAAGGUUGACAACCACUGCUCUCGACUGCAAUGAACUAAUAAAGGAUAAACAGGCUGGCAAGACGGCUCAGCAGGUAAAGGUCCUUGCUGCCAAGCCUGACAACCUGAGUUCAAUUCCCAGGGUCCACGUAAUGGGCAAAUUGUCCUCUGACUUCCACAUGUAUGACAAAUAAACAAACCAAUAAAUACAUGCAACAUUGUUGUAAAGGCUGAGCGGUGAUCCACACUAAAAUCUAUUAAGCAUUUUUAAACACAGAGAAGAUAAAAAGCAUUUGCAAAGAACAGAAGAGCCACCGGUAAAAGCAACAAAGCCAGAGCACCCCAGGAAGCUCAACACCACGUUGAGACAGAAGGAACUGAACCACUGCCAAUUUCAGAGUUCUGAGGGAGGUGAUGUUCGAACUAGAAUUGUAUUACCAGCCAAAUCAUUAAUCAAAUAUGAGAAUAAAGACCUUUUCAAAUACACAAAAAGCCAAGAAUUCUAUCAUGUGUUUUUUCUCUAGUUUCUAGAGGAUAGGAUCCAGGAAAAGAAAAAAAGAAGAAGAAAAAAAAAACAGUAAAAUAAGAUAAAGGGACUGGAGGAUCAGGAGUUACGGGCCAGCCUCCCCUACAGAGUGAGUCAGAGGUCAUCCCAGGCUACAUGAGAUCCUGUUUCAAACAUGCAAACAAAAAGAGAAGGAUGUAAAACACAGGAAAAGUAUAAGGAAAUCCAGGAUGCAGCAGGUAGAUUAAAGGAAGAUAUGAAAUGAAGGGAGAGAGAGGAGCUUUUUGGAGCUUAAAGCCUGACCGGUUAUCGAAAUAUUUCACCGGCUGAGGGGACUGGAAAAUAUAUUAAGUGCGGUGACCGAGAUCCAGAAGACAAGCCCCCUAUGAUCUCCCUCACGUGGAUUCCAGCUUUGAAUGUUGAGGUUUCUAUAUGGAAUUUGGAGUAGCUGGAGAGCCCAGGAAGCUAGAAGGGGCCUGUGAAAGGGAGAAAAUAAGGGGGGUGGGGGGAGGAGAGUCACAUGAUAUGAAGCUGGCUGGAUGAAGAAUUCCGGGAGUUAGAGGUUUAAGCAGGAAUAGAGGCAGGGAGGGAGAGAGAGAGGAAGAGUCGGGUAGGUUGACCAAAAUAAGGAUAUAUGAAAAACCCUUCUGGAAACCCUCUACUUUCUAAACUGAGUAACAAAUAUAACUUAAAAUUGGAAGGAGCUUGAACACAGAUACCCUGCAUGGGCAGACAACGCUUUCCCCAGAAGACAGGAGCUAUUAGAUUAAAAUCUCAGUAGUAGGCCUGUUCCCUAGGAAGGAGUUUCAGGCCUGGCGCUGUAAACCUGGUCAUAGGUCCAUGGCUCAGGAGUCACAGGCCCUAGGGAGGAACCUAUUACUCUUCUUUUGCUAAAAUACAUCGAAAUAUCAAACAACCUUCUAAAUAUCCAUCAUUAUACCCAAGUUUAAUGCUGCCCUCAACCUUGGCCCAAGACUAUUCUCUCUGUAGUGGACAUCAGUAAAUACCCAGACUCACAACUGUUCAAAGUACUGAUCAUCACUAAAUAGGACAUCUGUAUGCUCCUGUCCCCCACCAAGGUGCAAGGGACAUCUUAGAAGGAGGGUAAAAGAAAUAUAAGAACAAGAGGAUGAGGAAUUCCGGGAAGGGCUAUGUUGGGGACAUGACAUAACCAUUGUACCCAUAAACUCACUGCAGCCAUGGUUACCUGCACAACAGCCAACCAACAAGGCCAGUCAACAUUCCAACAGUCAGUGCAGACCGGACUCAGUGGUUUGUUAACAAGGAAAGGAGAAGAUGUGAAGGGAGAGAGAGGCAGGUUGAGGGUCUUUCUGGGGAGUGGAAGGGAGGGACUAGAGGUUUCUUGGGGGACUAGGAAGAGGAACCUGGGGGUGCUUAUGAUCAAGACGCAUUCUUUACCUAUAUGAAAUCAUCAAAGACAAACAAAAGAUAUUCUAUCAGAAGUAUUUCACCGUUUGAGCAUGAAAUGGGAGUCUUUGAUGGACCUGAACGAUUGUGAGGACCGGAAUAAAGAAACAAUGAAAUUUAAAAACAAGUUCAGCAGAUCUCUGGAGCUCCACAGAGCGUUGGAAGGCUACUAAAAAAGAUGGGUAACGCUUCUGUCAGCUAGAAGUCAUUUACGUUUGAAGCUGGUUAAAUCUUGAGCCAUCUUGAUCAAAGUGGGCACACAAUGCUUGUUGAUGGUACUUCCAGCUUUGAAGGCUUUUGCAUGCAUUUGAUGGCCUGCAGCUUCCUCUGCCUUUGCAAGAACAUUACUUAUCUUCCAGUGAGCCCUGACAGCAUCACACAGUCUACACGUCUUUGGGAGGAAAUGGCUUCCUGCGUAAAAUAUUGUGUAAGCACUUAAGGCUGGCUUUGUUAAUCUUUCAUUUCUUAAAAUUUAGGACACCACGGUGGCAUUAUAGGAGAGCAGUUGUCUAUAAUUUGCACAGCUAAAUUUGGCUUCGAGGUUGUCCAAUAUGCAAGUAUAUUGUUUGGAAUAAUAGUUAAUAAUAAGUUUCCAAGCAAGUCGGAAAUAGAGCCACUAUCAUUUAAAAGCCGGAGCCAAAAUGCAACUGCCUCUCCGGCAAGAUAAUGAGUUAAUGAGGAAGACCUCUUUCAAAGCAAAAAACACCACCACCAUUCGGAGUCAGCUGGGCGCCCACUACCUUGAACGUCAAGCUGCUCACCCAUCACAAUGUGAUCUCUAAGAAUAGACCCAUUACCACCUCUCCAGCAAGGGCUUGAACUAAACAGCUGGUACUUGUGUCUGAGUUCUUCGGGGGAUGAUGACUACAAUAGAAACAGGCUCUGGCUUCGGGUGAAAACCAGAGCGAGCUUUUGGAUUUACAGCAGGCAGUGGCUUUAAGUCCCUGAAAUUUGAGGUCACCUGGAAUAGCGCCUUUGAUGCCGUGUCAAGCGAAAGCUUUCCUGGACCCCUGCAGCACAGGUUUCACACUGGAUAUUCUCCAUCCCUCCAGCGUCCCCCUCUACCCUUUUCAUUGCUGAACUGGAGCACAUGGCCCAUUUCCUCUGACCUCCCGUUGGUUUUGGCUAUUAGGAAUGGUGGGCAAGUGACCCGAGGAUGCUAGAAAAGAGGAGGUGGCCCAUCCAUUGUCCUGAUGUGGCAGGCUCCAUUUGCCCCAGCUAAAGGUCAGCACGCAUCCUUGGCCACUGCUUCCAGCAGCCCUAUGCCCUUGUCCACACCAUGGACCUUCACACUGAUGGACGGCUAGUGCUGGUCCUGGUGGAGAGUCUUGGGGUGGUCUCCACUCCUGUUCUCCCUUUGCAAACAGCCCCUUCGCGGAUGUUUUCCAUCACCCUUCGAGUGGGUCAUCACUUUGCUUCUGACUGAUACUACAUUCCUCCUUUCUUAUACACCAAAGACUUUAAAUAAUACAGAGUUUUAAUUGGCACAUAAAAUAAUGGGUUUCACUGUGAUAUUUUCACACACACACACACACACACACACACACACACACACACACACACACCUGUCUGUUCAGAUGGAAGAGUGAUUACAAGCAACCCACUGAGUAGCAAAGGGGGCAGCAUUGCUGGUGACAUCAUUUGCAGAUUUUCCACUGGGCUCAAUGUACUGUUCUAGGAAAGCUGUUUUUCUCCU